rnacentral:lncRNA from 1 species
UUCGGUGCUUUCCAAAAGAACCGGUUUCUCCUCUCCACUGGGCCUCAGACCAGCAAACAAGUCCAUUAGAAGGCAGGCUAUGUAUUCGGGCCUCAUUUCUUCGGUCCAGAUGUAUGGGCUUCGCUUGUCAAUUUGGGCUCUGGCUGCAUAUCCAGAAGCCAGAAAAUGGUUGGGCAUGCAAACAACGAAGUCAAAUACUCUCCAUCAGCAAUGACAACAGAGUUCCACUCA